UCAGUAUUUAUUUACAGUUCACAGAUUACAGUCUAGUUCCCAGCUUGGGGAAAAUCGUCUAGUAUAUUACAAAAGCAAAAGCUCUUCAAUCAAUUAAAGUUUAGAUAAAAUUUUUAUUUCCAUCUUUUGCUAAUGAUGUACACGUAUUUACUCCACCAACACCACUCCAACCUUUUGCUUUCCUCCCUCAGCCAACCACCACCACUAUCUCCAAUAUCUCCAAACCUUUAAUUAUCAACUCCACCACCACUUGCUCCCCACCCAACAAAUGCAAUAUUCACUCUCAUUUCAUUUUCAUCCAACAAUUCAGAGGAUCAAUUCCAGUUCGUUUCAGCCGAAGCUCUCAAGGUAAUGCUUGGCUUCAAUGCUUUCUUCUCCUUUGAUUAAGUUCAUCCUGCAAUUGUUAAGCAAAUAAGCAAUUUAUUUCAGUUUCUAUCCACUGAUUCAAACACCACAGCAGCCAACAUCAAUUUACAGCAACUCACUCCUGGAGAAAUCAACUUAUUUUCAUAAGAGGUAAACCAACUCACACAUACACUCAAAAUCAGUCAUUCAUUUUAUAAAGAAAACCAUCACCGAUGACAUGUUCAUGUACAUAAUCAACACUAACUAGGACUGCACAAUUCACAGAGGAUACGCACACAUAUUAUGUCACAGAAAUCAGCACGCAUACCUUGUUCUUUUUCUGAUAAAUGAGUUCCAUAAAAUGUUCUUUCUACUACAUUUUAGAAUUAUCACAAAUUGGUUAAAGAAAAGAAAAGGGAGUAUCUAUGCAUUGUGUGUGGGCGUGAGUGUUGAGAUGAAGCUGUUGUCGCUGUUGUUGUGAGUCGGGAUGUGUGAGUUGUUGGAGGAGGCCGUCGAAGGUGGCGACCUUCGUUGCAGUCGAUCGGCGAGGAGAGGGCUGAGAUUGUGAGGCUGCUGAGCCGUGAACACAGGGAUCGGCGGCGGCUUUCGCUGCUACUCGCCGGAAUAGAAGUGGGUGAGAACAGCCGGGGGCUGCUCACGGCCGGCGACGGCUCGGCGGCAAGCCGCUGCCUUUUUCUUUUUCUGUCGGAAAUUGGGAGGAGAGGAGAGAGAUUAUUAGAGUUCAGUUUUAAAAAAAGAGAGAGAGACGGGAAAAGGGGUAAGAAAAGAAGAGAGGGAAGGGAGGAGGCACGACCUUGCCGGGCUUAGGCGGCGGCGAUGCCGGCAACCUCGUCGGAGCCGUGAAUCGAGAGAGAGAGCUCGAUUGGAUUUUCAGCGAGAGAGAGAAGAAGGAGGACGAGCGACUGGUUUGAGAGUUGAGAGAGAGAUAACCGAGAGGGGGAGGAGAAGUAGAGCUUUUGGGCCUUUUGUUUUUUUNAUCAUUUGGGCUUUCUUUUAUUUUAGUUUGGGCCGAUAUAUUUUAUUUAGCUGGGCCUUACAUGAUUUAUUUAUUUGAGCCCAACUAUUCAUUAUUUAAUCAUUUGGGCCAAGAUUUAUUUAAUUACUUGAGCCAAUAAAUUAUUUCAGUUGGGCCUUAUUUAUUUUAUUCAGAUGGGCCUCUAUUACUUCAUUUCAAUUGGGCCUUUUAUAAAAUUAUUCAGGCCCACUUUUACUUAAUUAAUUAUUAGGCUGCCUUAUGUCGAGCCUUUUAAUUAAUUAAACUUACAACAGUACUUUCUUCCAUUUAUUAAGCCGAUUGAGUUUUUGAGGUUAUAAGGCGAAUAAGUUGAAGUAUUUAUUUAAUUAUUUUCUAUCGACUACGAGGAGCGGGAUUUAUUUAAUCGACGGAUUAGAACACCCUGAAGAGAACGGAUUAAUUUUAGUUAAUUACCCGGAAUCAUAAGACGAGACUUAGCUUUUGUUUAAAUCCGAUAGCCUGGAUUAACAAUAGAAAUUCCCUGAUUAUUAAGCCGGAAUAAUAAAUCAUGCAUAAGAGAGUCAUGCAUAUUUAUUUUACGCUUUCUCAUUAAUUGAGAAUUUUCCUCGAGGCAAUGUCUUAUUUUAUAUUAUCGUGAUUAAGGUCAAGCGCAAGAGUAAGAACUACACAAGGAGUUAGAGUACCUUAGCAAAACCUUGCUAUCAGGUGGGCAAUUUCUUACGCGUAAAUAAAAUGCUAUGCAUGUGUUAU
rnacentral:lncRNA from 1 species